CGGCACGGGUGAGUAACACGUAUGCAACCUGCCUGCCACAGCCGGAUAAUCGGGAGAAAUUCCGUCUAAUACGGCAUAAUGCAUCGACGGGACAUCCUGUCGGUGCCAAAGGUUGAUUCCGGUGGCGGAUGGGCAUGCGUCGCAUUAGUUAGUUGGCGGUGUAACGGACCACCAAGACGACGAUGCGUAGGGGUUCUGAGAGGAAGGUCCCCCACACUGGUACUGAGACACGGACCAGACUCCUACGGAAGGCAGCAG
rnacentral:rRNA from 1 species